AUUGAACGCUGGCGGCAGGCCUAACACAUGCAAGUCGAACGGUAACAGGAAGCAGCUUGCUGCUUCGCUGACGAGUGGCGGACGGGUGAGUAAUGUCUGGGAAACUGCCUGAUGGAGGGGGAUAACUACUGGAAACGGUAGCUAAUACCGCAUAACGUCGCAAGACCAAAGAGGGGGACCUUAGGGCCUCUUUCCAUCGGAUGUGCCCAGAUGGCAUUAGCUAGUAGGUGGGGUAACGGCUCACCUAGGCGACGAUCCCUAGCUGGUCUGAGAGGAUGACCAGCCACACUGGAACUGAGACACGGUCCAGACUCCUACGGGAGGCAGCAGUGGGGAAUAUUGCACAAUGGGCGCAAGCCUGAUGCAGCCAUGCCGCGUGUAUGAAGAAGGCCUUCGGGUUGUAAAGUACUUUCAGCGGGGAGGAAGGGAGUAAAGUUAAUACCUUUGCGCAUUGACGUUACCCGCAGAAGAAGCACCGGCUAACUCCGUG
rnacentral:rRNA from 1 species